AUGUGUGUCCCAAAAAACCAAGGUGGUAUGGGAUUUCGUGAUAUCCAUUGUUUUAACUUGGCGUUGCUGGCUAAAUAGGCUUGGUGCCUUCUUGAGAACCCAGAUUCUUUAUGUGCCAGGAUAUUGAGAGCCAAAUAUUUUGCUGAUGGAGAUUUAUUGAAUGCAAAGCUUAAGAAGGGAUCUUCUUUCACAUGGCAAAGUAUUAUGUCGGGAGUUAGUACUCUGAAGAAUGGGUACAUUUGGCGAGUUGGAAAUGGUCAGUCCAUUAAUAUUUGGGAUGAUGCUUGGAUUCCUAAUUGUGCUACCAGGAAAGUCAUCACUCCAAAGGGGGGUCAUUUCUUGUCAAAGGUGUCGGACCUUAUUGACCCCACAUCAAACAAUUGGGAUGAAGAUCUCGUUAAUCAAACUUUGUGGCCCAUUGUUUCUCAUCGGAUCCUCGCGAUCCCUCUCCCACAAUAUGACAUGACGGAUUUUAUUGCUUGGAAUUACACUAAGAAUGGGAUCUUUUCUGUUCGCUCCGCCUAUGUCAUUGAGUGGAAUCACCAAUAUGGAAGGAAACUUAGCCGAUCUAACGGAUUGGGGCGAACAAAUUUUAAUCCAAUUUGGCGUAACAUCUGGAACUUAUCUUGUCCGGCAAAGGUUAAAAAAUUUAUUUGGAGGGUGUUGCAUGGCACUCUCCCAUGUCGUGUUACACUAGCCAAUAGAUGUAUGAAAGUUUCGCCAAUUUGUCCUUCGUGUUCGUCUAGGCAAGAAGAUACAAAACAUUUGUUGUUCCAGUGCCAGAAAGCUAAGGAGGUGUGGAGAAGACUUGGUUGA
rnacentral:rRNA from 1 species